ensembl:lncRNA
GUGAACCACAACAAGGCAGCUGUUGGCGUCUUACUAUUAAAUAAAGCCGCACAAUGAAGUCGAUCAUCGCCGUUAUCGCCGCCGAUGUCGUCCUACACGUGGCCUCAUGCCUUGUGGUCAUCACGCAGACGACGGACCCGAGCCGAUCUGGAAGCCGAGCCAAUAUGGUACUUACACCGGCAUUCCCGCCGUGUGCUCCCACAGUGCCCUGCCGGAAGAAUUCAGACCCAUGUGUCGGGACCCCAGCGCCCGGAAGCUCUUCGCCAAACUAGAGGAACUGAGAUCUGCGACACCGGCUACUGUGAAGGCAAUGCUGCCUGAUUCCAAUCAGAGGAGGCAAUAAACUGAAAUCAAAACGAUUUAAAACGAAAGAAAAAGAAAUAAACAUCUGAGCCUUCUUUUUUGAAUAAACGUGAAUAAACCCAG